GACGCCUCAAUAAGGAAAUUUGUAUGCUCUUCUAAUUUUGCAACUACACGUUGCAAUAAUUGAUACUCUUGAAUGCCUUAAGCAGGAUUUCAAGACAAAAGAUUAAGUAUAAAAAACCUAAAACUCUUUCAUAAUAAAAAAAUUGCUUUCUUACUUGAAGAAAUCAUCGGAAAACCAUGUGGAUUUGAAAUUCUAAAACAACUGAAUUCAAUCGCGAAUUUCGACAAGCUCUUGACAAAUUUAGCUAUUUU